AUAAUAAUAAUAAUAAUAAUUGUGUAUUAUUGUUCAAUAUUAGGUUGGUAUUGCCAUCUGCUAUAGAGAGGGAAAGGAGGAAGAGUAAUUUUGAACAUUAUAAGGACACCACACUCUCAGCCUUGUUUCUGGAGCUAAUGGUUAGAAUAUUUGAGUAAGUUACAUAGGAUGAUAAUGAUACUUGAAGAACCACUCCAGUCUGGUUUAUAUGAUGUCCUCCCUACUACUAUUGGAAGGUUUGGUUCCUGAGGAUUUGAGGCUUUUGCUCUGUGGGUGUCAGCAGGUUGAACUUGACGUACUCAAAAAGAUAACAACUUUCACUGACGAGACUUGGAAGUAUACACAUUGUAGGUAGAGGUAUUCAGAAGAUAUUAAAGGUGUGGCCACAGGCCAGAGCCCCGCCCCCUCAGAUUCACUACUUGAUGUUAGCACCAAUCCCAGUACAGAUUGGACUCAAUAGGUCAAUGGAAAUGAAGGAGAGGGACAGAAUGGGGACAUCAAA